CAUCCAGGCUGGGGUUUGAUUAUGGCUCAGAUUGAACGCUGGCGGGAUGUACACAGCAUACAAGUCGAACGGCAGCACGGACUUCGGUCUGGUGGCAGUGGCGAACAGGUGAGUAAUGUAUCGGAACGUGCUAGUAGCGGGGGAUAACUACGCGAAAGCGUAGCUAAUACCGCAUACCACCACGCCCUUCGAGGAAAGCGGGGACCUUCAGACUCCUUUAUUAGAGCGGCCGAUAUCGGAUUAGCGGAUUGGUGGGGUAACGGCUCACCAAGGCGACGAUCCGUAGCUGGUUUGAGAGGACGACCAACCACUGGGACUGAGACCCAGCCCAGACUCCACGAGAGAAAUUUUGGACAAUGAAACCAGUCAGCGCCAUCCCGCGUGUGCGAUGAAGGCCUUCGGGUUGUAAAGCACUUUUGGCGGAAACGGCACAGGAUAAUACCCCGUGCAACUGACGGUACCUGCAGAAUAGCACCGGCUAACUACGUGCCAGCAGCCGCGGUAAUACGUAGGUGCAAGCGUUAAUCGGAAUUACUGGGCGUAAAGCGUGCGCAGGCGGUUCGGAAAGAAAGAUGCUUGAAAUCCCAGAGCUUAACUUUGGAACUGCAUUUUUAACCGAGCUAGAGUGUGUCAGAGGGAGGUGGAAUUCCGCGUGUAGCAGUGAAAUGCGGAGGAACACCGAUGGUGAAGGCAGCCUCCUGGGAUAACACGGCGCUCAUGCACGAAAGCGUGGGGAGCAAACGAAGUUAGAUACCCUGGUAGUCCACGCCCUAAACAGUGUCAACUAGCUGUUGGGGCCUUCGGGCCUUGGUAGCGCAGCUAACGCGUGAGAUUGACCGCCUGAAGCCGGUCGCAAGAUUAAAACUCAAAGGAAUUGACGAGGUACACAAGCGGUGGAUGAUGUGGAUUAAUUCGAUGCAACGCGAAAAACCUUACCUACCCUUGACAUGUCUAGAUCGAAGAGAUUUGGGGGUGCUCGCAAGAGAACGGAACACAGGUGCUGUGGCUGUCGUCAGCUCGUGUCGUGAGAUGUUGGGUUAAGUCCCGCAACGAGCGCAACCCUUGUCAUUAGUUGCUACGAAGGGCACUCUAAUGAGACUGCCGGUGACAAACCGGAGGAAGGAAUUGGGGAUGACGUCAAGUCCUCAUGGCCCUUAUGGGUAGGGCUUCACACGUCAUACAAUGGUCGGGACAGAGGGUCGCCAACCCGCGAGGGGAGCCAAUCCCAGAAACCCGAUCGUAGUCCGGAUCGCAGUCUGCAACUCGACUGCGUGAAGUCCCGGAAUCGCUAGUAAUCGCCGUCAGCAUGUCGCGGUGAAUACGUUCCCGGGUCUUGUACACACCGCCCGUCACCAUGGGAGUGGGUUUACCAGAAGUAGUUAGCCUAACCGUAAGGAGGGCGAUUACCACGGUAGGAUUCAUGACUGGGGUGAAGUCGUAACAAGGUAG
rnacentral:rRNA from 1 species